rnacentral:rRNA from 1 species
GUGGGGAAUCUUGCGCAAUGGGCGAAAGCCUGACGCAGCCAUGCCGCGUGAAUGAUGAAGGUCUUAGGAUUGUAAAAUUCUUUCACCGGGGACGAUAAUGACGGUACCCGGAGAAGAAGCUCCGGCUAACUUCGUGCCAGCAGCCGCGGUAAUACGCAGGGGGCUAGCGUUGCUCGGAAUUACUGGGCGUAAAGGGCGCGUAGGCGGACAGCUUAGUCAGAGGUGAGAGCCCAGGGCUCAACCUUGGAAUUGCCUUUGAUACUGGCUGUCUUGAGUUUGGGAGAGGUGAGUGGAACUCCGAGUGUAGAGGUGAAAUUCGUAGAUAUUCGGAAGAACACCAGUGGCGAAGGCGACUCACUGGCCCAAUACUGACGCUGAGGCGCGAAAGCGUGGGGAGCAAACAGGAUUAGAUACCCGUGUAGUCC